rnacentral:rRNA from 1 species
AGAAUGAACGUUGGCGGCGUGGAUUAGGCAUGCAAGUCGUACGGGCCGCAAGGCCAGUGGCGCAAGGGUGAGUAAGGCGACGGUAACCAACCCCAUGAUUGGGUAUAGCCGCGGGAAACUGCGGGUAAUCCUCAGCGACGUCCCGGGGGGGCAUCCUCCGGGGACCAAAGUUCCGGCGUCGUGGGACGGGCCGUCGUGGUAUUAGGUUGUUGGCGGGGUAACGGCCCACCAAGCCUGCGAUGCCUACCGGGCGUGCGAGCGUGGCCCGGCACACUGGGACUGAGACACUGCCCAGACUCCUACGGGAGGCUGCAGUCGAGAAUCUUCGGCAAUGGGCGCAAGCCUGACCGAGCGACGCCGCGUGGAGGAUGAAGGCCUUGGGUUGUAAACUCCUGUCGAGGGGGAAGAAGGGUCGCAAGACCUUGACUUAUCCCUGGAGGAAGCGACGGGCUAAGUUCGUGCCAGCAGCCGC